AACCUUUACACUGCACGCCAGUGCGAUAAGGGGAUCCCGAGUGCGCAGGCAUAGAGCCUGCGCUUUUCUGAACCGUAGGAAGGUUCAGGAACAAGAGCUGGGCAAGACCGGUGCCAGCCGCCGCGGUAAUACCGGCAGCUCGAGUGAUGGCCGAUCUUAUUGGGCCUAAAGCGUCCGUAGCUGGCCUUGCAAGUCCGUCGGGAAAUCCACCCGCUCAACGGGUGGGCGUCCGGCGGAAACUGCAAGGCUUGGGACCGGGAGGCUUGAAGGGUACGUCCGGGGUAGGAGUGAAAUCCCGUAAUCCUGGACGGACCGCCGAUGGGGAAACCACUUCAAGAGAACGGAUCCGACAGUGAGGGACGAAAGCUAGGGUCUCGAACCGGAUUAGAUACCCGGGUAGUCCUAGCUGUAAACGAUGCCUGUUAGGUGUGACUCCCACUACGAGUGGGUGUUGUGCCGUAGGGAAGCCGCUAAACAGGCCGCCUGGGAAGUACGUCUGCAAGGAUGAAACAUUAA
rnacentral:rRNA from 1 species